AACUUAAGCAAACCUGCAGAUUGGUAAGCAAACACACACACUUCAGCUGACCCGGGCAAGGUUCUAGUAGGAAGUACUAUGUGAUUUUAUUUUUUUUUUUUUUCACACUCAGAACAGAAGUGUCAAUGCUCUCACUAUGAAGAGGAGUCACAGGAUUGGCUGGGGUGGUUAAAGUGAA
rnacentral:lncRNA from 1 species